rnacentral:lncRNA from 1 species
CGCUGAUAAACAUGUCAAACAUAUGCAAGCAUGCAAACAUUUGAAUAAAAUGUUACUGGUCUAAAGGUGGCACGGGAAUCUAUAUAUUAAGCAUAUUUGCAUGUGUUCUACUUCUAAAGCUGUUUGAUCAAAGGCAAUUUGUAAAGAAUGUCAAUCGGAGUUUCGUAUACCAGUGAACAGUCUAGCUUAUCCACAGUUAAAC